rnacentral:rRNA from 1 species
GACAGAGGGUGCGAACGUUGUUCGGAAUUACUGGGCGUAAAGCGCAUGUAGGCGGCCAUGCAGGUCAGCUGUGAAAACUCGAGGCUCAACCUCGAGACGUCGGUUGAAACCGUAUGGCUAGAGUCCGGAAGAGGAGAGUGGAAUUCCCGGUGUAGCGGUGAAAUGCGCAGAUAUCGGGAAGAACACCUAUGGCGAAGGCAGCUCUCUGGGACGGUACUGACGCUGAGACGCGAAAGCGUGGGGAGCAAACAGG